GAUGAACGCUGGCGGCGUGCCUAAUACAUGCAAGUCGAGCGAACGGACGAGGAGCUUGCUUCUCUGAUGUUAGCGGCGGACGGGUGAGUAACACGUGGAUAACCUACCUAUAAGACUGGGAUAACUUCGGGAAACCGGAGCUAAUACCGGAUAAUAUUUUGAACCGCAUGGUUCAAAAGUGAAAGACGGUCUUGCUGUCACUUAUAGAUGGAUCCGCGCUGCAUUAGCUAGUUGGUAAGGUAACGGCUUACCAAGGCAACGAUGCAUAGCCGACCUGAGAGGGUGAUCGGCCACACUGGAACUGAGACACGGUCCAGACUCCUACGGGAGGCAGCAGUAGGGAAUCUUCCGCAAUGGGCGAAAGCCUGACGGAGCAACGCCGCGUGAGUGAUGAAGGUCUUCGGAUCGUAAAACUCUGUUAUUAGGGAAGAACAUAUAUGUAAGUAACUGUGCACAUCUUGACGGUACCUAAUCAGAAAGCCACGGCUAACUACGUGCCAGCAGCCGCGGUAAUACGUAGGUGGCAAGCGUUAUCCGGAAUUAUUGGGCGUAAAGCGCGCGUAGGCGGUUUUUUAAGUCUGAUGUGAAAGCCCACGGCUCAACCGUGGAGGGUCAUUGGAAACUGGAAAACUUGAGUGCAGAAGAGGAAAGUGGAAUUCCAUGUGUAGCGGUGAAAUGCGCAGAGAUAUGGAGGAACACCAGUGGCGAAGGCGACUUUCUGGUCUGUAACUGACGCUGAUGUGCGAAAGCGUGGGGAUCAAACAGGAUUAGAUACCCUGGUAGUCCACGCCGUAAACGAUGAGUGCUAAGUGUUAGGGGGUUUCCGCCCCUUAGUGCUGCAGCUAACGCAUUAAGCACUCCGCCUGGGGAGUACGACCGCAAGGUUGAAACUCAAAGGAAUUGACGGGGACCCGCACAAGCGGUGGAGCAUGUGGUUUAAUUCGAAGCAACGCGAAGAACCUUACCAAAUCUUGACAUCCUUUGACAACUCUAGAGAUAGAGCUUUCCCCUUCGGGGGACAAAGUGACAGGUGGUGCAUGGUUGUCGUCAGCUCGUGUCGUGAGAUGUUGGGUUAAGUCCCGCAACGAGCGCAACCCUUAAGCUUAGUUGCCAUCAUUAAGUUGGGCACUCUAAGUUGACUGCCGGUGACAAACCGGAGGAAGGUGGGGAUGACGUCAAAUCAUCAUGCCCCUUAUGAUUUGGGCUACACACGUGCUACAAUGGACAAUACAAAGGGCAGCGAAACCGCGAGGUCAAGCAAAUCCCAUAAAGUUGUUCUCAGUUCGGAUUGUAGUCUGCAACUCGACUACAUGAAGCUGGAAUCGCUAGUAAUCGUAGAUCAGCAUGCUACGGUGAAUACGUUCCCGGGUCU
rnacentral:rRNA from 1 species